CCCUGAUAAUACUCUGUAGUGUAGAUGGGACCAGGAGAAAUUAUUUAAAGAAGACUUUUAUUGAAUCUAGAGGGUUUAAUUGGUUUGGUUUAGUCACUAAGUCAUGUCCGACUCUUGAGACCCCAUGGACUGUAGCCCACUAGGCUGCUCAAUCCACAAGAUUCUCCAGUAUUCUGGCCUGGAGAAUCCAAUGGACAGAGGAGUCUGGCGGGCUACAGUCCAUGGGGUCGCAAAGAGUCGGACACGAAUGAGCAACUACAUCACCCAUGCCUUCGGCAAGCUUCUUUGCUCCACCUGUGCGUGCACCGCUCACGAUAAACAUGAGACGACGCUGUGAGUUUUGGGGGCAGCGGUUAAUUAAAGACAAGGACGCCAGAGUCAGACCGCUUGAGUUCACCCCCUGCACUCCCAUUUCCUGGACAAAUCAUCCUGGGGAAGUGGCUUCGCGUCUUUCAGUAUAAACCCUGUCAUUUGUCAAGUAGGUAAAAGUCCACCCAGGGUCAGUCAGCAUUUCUCAGUGCCACCUGGGGAGAAGGAAUACUCCAAGAGUCUGGGUGUCUAGUGAGACUUGGUAGAGAGAAGCAUUUCUGUAGGCGAACAAAGGGGUCUAUUAUGUCAUGACGACCUGUGUGAAACUUCUCUUAAGAGCCGAUUCCCUUUCCCCUGACUAUGGUUUUCCCCAGGUUACCACUUCGUCAAAUACUGAGUCUUCCAAGUGGACCAGGAAGAGCCCUUUUUCUGCAGGUCUCCUGCAGGUUGUCUCCUGAAUUGCAGGCAGAUUCUUUACUGACUGAGCUACGAGGGAAGCCCCCAACAGUGGGUCCCAAGAGCCCUUUUUCUGCAGACCAAAGACCUGGAUUGUCAAUUUAUGGAUCACUGAUAUAAAAUGCUCUUAUCCAAAUGUUGUUAAUUCUCAGUAACCCUCUAAUCCUUAAUAAUUCCUCAGGGACCUAGCAUUGUUUCUAGAUAUGUAAAAUGUCUCUAACUCUAGCGUAUGUCAUAAUCGACUUGGAUAUAAAAAUAAAUCCUGUUGUGUCCUCAGUACAAUCAGAAGAAAUUUUUAUCCUAACAUUUUUCCCUAAAG
ensembl:lncRNA